rnacentral:rRNA from 1 species
GAUGAACGCUGGCGGCGUGCUUAACACAUGCAAGUCGAACGAGAAGUGGAGACGGAAACCUUCGGGCGGAAGACUUUAUUUCGAGUGGCGGACGGGUGAGUAACGCGUGGGUAACCUGCCUCAUACAGGGGGAUAACAGUUGGAAACGACUGUUAAUACUGCAUAAGACCACAGCACCGCAUGGUGCGGGGGUAAAAACUCCGGUGGUAUGAGAUGGACCCGCGUUCGAUUAGCCAGUUGGCGGGGUAACGGCCCACCAAAGCGACGAUCGAUAGCCGAUCUGAGAGGAUGACCGGCCACAUUGGGACUGAGACACGGCCCAAACUCCUACGGGAGGCAGCAGUGGGGAAUAUUGCACAAUGGGGGAAACCCUGAUGCAGCGACGCCGCGUGAGUGAAGAAGUAUUUCGGUAUGUAAAGCUCUAUCAGCAGGGAAGAAAAUGACGGUACCUGAGUAAGAAGCCCCGGCUAACUACGUG